rnacentral:rRNA from 1 species
UUUUACGGAGAGUUUGAUCCUGGCUCAGGAUUAACGCUGGCGGCGUGCCUGACACAUGCAAGUCGAACGGGUGCUAGCUGCCCGCAAGGGUGGCUAGCGCUAGUGGCGGACGGGUGAGUAACACGUGGGCAACCUGCCUGAGAGUGCAGAAUAACCCUGCG